AUUUGGGGGUGGGUGGGAGAUGAGGUCAUAAAAGGGUAAGUACACAGCUAUCUAGUAAGAAGGGUCCAGGGAUGAAGGUGUAUGUAGAGGAGGGGAGGAAUACGCUUCUUGAGGUGAUCAAAGAAUCAGGAAUGAAGAGAGAGAAAAGAACAAAUCAGGGCCAUGAAUCCCCUUCUGUCUGUUUCUGGCCCUGAGUCAACUUCACCAGUUCACAGGAAAGGAACAUGUAAUCUGCCUCACUCAGCUCUGCAUGUUGUGAUCAAAGCUCGAAGGAUAUGUGCAGACUUGUAGCAGCCAACAUCGCUCUCUUUCUGUUCAAGCAGAUAAAAAGAACUCUCUAGCUCAACCUGACAUCCUGGUGAGCUAUCAGAGGAUUGGAGAAACAAGAGCCCUGCCCUUGGAUAAGGUCCUGACCAGGCAGUGGCAGUGAGCCUAGGAGGAAAAAUCUCACCUUGCUUUUCAAGCAUAAAGCUGACAGUUCUACUAGAGGCACACAGGAAGUCACUCUGGCUUCACUGCCGAGAUCCUCUGUACCCAGAAGCAUCUGUUCCCUUUGUGGUUGGGAGGGGACACCAGCCAAGAGAAGAUACUGGGUCAGUCUAGGACUAUAUACUCUGGGGCUAGUCACCAAAUAUUGCAAGAGACAUAUUAAAAACUAUUAGUUAUUCAAAAUACAAAUUUAACUGGGUGCUUUGUAUUUUUUUUGCUCAAUCUCACAACUCUACUUGGUGGCCC
rnacentral:lncRNA from 1 species